rnacentral:rRNA from 1 species
UACAGAGGGUGCAAGCGUUAAUCGGAAUUACUGGGCGUAAAGCGCGCGUAGGCGGGUUGGUAAGUCCGCUGUGAAAGCCCGGAGCUCAACUCCGGAGGGUCGGUGGAUACUGCCAGUCUUGAAGGUGCUAGGGGGAGAUGGAAUUACCGGUGUAGCGGUGAAAUGCGUAGAUAUCGGUAGGAACACCAGUGGCGAAGGCGGUCUCCUGGGGCAUUCUUGACGCUGAGGCGCGAAAGCUGGGGGAGCGAACGGG